UAUAACUUUAAAAAUUCUGUUAUAUAUACGAUUGUGAAUGACAAACAUAUAUGUUUUUUUUUAAUCUGAGGGAUGUUGUUCAAAAUUAAAACAUAUAAUUUCUAUCAUUUUAUAAUGUUGAUCUUGAAGUUUAUACGUUUCUGGCGAAAUAUUUUCUAGAUUUUGUUUAAACCAUUUUAAUCCUAAAUAAUCAUGAAAUAUUUGCCACUGAACAUUAGUAUCAUCAAACAAAUUGUAUAUUGCUAAUAUUUUAAUGUUUUAUUUGUGAAAUCUAUAACGAUUGCAUUUAUCACUAUUACUGAAGUUAAUGGAAAAAAUCUGUCUUAAGAUGUACCUUGUUCCGUAAUGUUUCAGAAAUGUGGUAUAAUGAUUUCUACUUCAUAGAAAUAUAAAUGAAUUUGUUAGUUUUAUUAUUUCUAAAUCGCAUGCAAACAUAUACGAUAUAUUUGUGAAACCUGAUCAUAUACACACUUGCAUGUGUAACAGUGUUUUAGAUAUCAAAUAGAGUAUUUAUUUAUCAAAUUCAUUGCAAGAAUGUUGUAAUUUAUAUAUAAUUAUACGGACUCGACUGAAUUUAGUUUUUUGUCCUCGGCAAAACUUUUGCAAAAGAAAACGGAUAUUUGAAUAGUUUGUAGGAGUUAGAUAUUUGAGUACUACAGAAGACAAAAUAAUUCAGAGGGCAAAAGGAAUAAUACAGAGCUAGGAAUAAUAGAAAUUAUUGACAACAUCCUGACUAGAAAAUGCAUGGGAAUGGAGAUGGGAAAAAAUGCAUUCUACCAUUUGAUAGCCCAGAAUGAAUAAGUUUAAGAAAAGGUACAUGUAGUGAAAUAACUUUUAUGAAGAUAUGCUAAACUGGAUAUUAAAAGGAUGUAACAUUAGACGGAGCCAGAAAUAGUGACAAAACAAAGUGUAGCAGAAAACAAAAGUAACACUCUUGUGAAUAAAAACCAUGUUGGAAUACAGAACUAGAAAAAUAGCUGUAUACAAUGAAUUAUCAAACCGUCAUACAGAGCUUGGAUAUUGCAACAUAAACUGUAAUGAUAUUAUACAAAUGGGAUAAAUGAAUUAUCAUGAAUAGACUUUAAAAUUUUCAUUCUAUAGAUCUGAUUUAGCAACGUAUAGAUACAAAAAAGACUUUUUUUAAAUUUGCUGGUUGUCUAGCUAAUAAUAAAUUAUAUUUAAUCAUA